AUGUUUAUUAAGCAGCGUGCACAUUACGUGAGGCAGCAAGUCCUGCACUGGUCCCGGGAGUGGCGCCUCUGGAAAGGGCACGGUGGCUCCUUGAUGAAUGACUUUAAUAAGAAGCAGCUUGGAAGUACCUUCAAAAAAAGAAUGAAAGUGGCUGGCAAUGAAAACACAUCUACCCAGGAUGGUUCAAAUGAAGAUAAACAGGAGAUCAGAAGCCGUAUUGGGGGAGUGAAUUUUUCUUCAUCAACUUUCCUGCUUCCAGCUGAGAAUAUUGUAUUCGCUUUUGCUUCGCGGAGCCACGGGAGCAGAUGUAAAGCAGCAGCUGAAGGUGUCGCAGGGACAGGGGAUGAGGUGGGAGCAUGAUGUGACCUGUAGCUUCAGCAUCUCAGCACGGGGCUUCCAGCCACAUUUGCAUUUCAUUUAUCAUCACUCCAAACAAAUCUAUGUGUCUGCAGCAGGGUGGCAUGAAAAAUUAAUGCCCCGUGUCAGGCCGAGCUUGUCAGAGUGACAGUGCAGAAAGGGAAUAACAAAAGGGUAACAUGCAUGGUCCUUUCUACUUAACAGCCACUCUCAUGUUCCCUGAAUGCCUUCUCUUGAGCCUGCGUGUUGGGGCUGAUGGAGCAGCCAGACCCUUCCUGUAGGCUGAAGGUGGAGAGCCUGUUUCUGGGCAGUAGCUCAGGCCAUGUUUCAGGAGUUUGCUUGGCCUCCCGACCCAGUGAGGGCAGAAGUCACUGUGGUCGGAGUUGGGUGACCAGUCUUUGCUGAGCCAUCUUGGACACAGGAGGAGAAAGAAGGCAGCCUUCCCAGCCCCAAGGAUUCUCAGAAAGUAGGCAAGGGCAGAGAUGUUCUAGAGAGGCUGAUGUGUAGAAUUACCUGGGGGAUAGGUGGAUAAGAGGCUGGGAUGACUUGAGCAUCUGUUGCUUCAGAACCUUCUUGAGAUGCCAGCCGGGUGCAGUGGCUCAUGCCUGUAAUCCCAGCACUUUAGGAGGCCGAGGCAGUUGGAUCACCUGAGGUCAGGAGUUCAAGACCAGCCUGGCCAACAUGGUGAAACCCCAUCUCUGCUAAAAAUACAAAAUUAGCCAGGCAUGGUGGCACAUGCCUGUAGUCCCAGCUACUCGGGAGGCUGAGGCAGGAGAAUCGCUUGAACCCGGGAGGUGGAGGUUGCAGUGAGCGACCCGAGAUCGUGCCAUUAUACUCCAGCCUGGGCAACAAGAGCAAAACUCCCAUCUCAAAAAACAAAAAAAAGAACCUUCUUGAGAGGUAGAUUGAUUGGAAGUUUCCCAGCACAUGUAGAUGCUCAACAAAUUUUGGUUUAGUCUGAAUCCAAUACUGGCUUCUUUCUGACAUGGUCACAGCAGUGGAAAUAGUCACCUUCUUCCUGCAGCAGGAAGGGUAUAGUGAUAAAGACUGUGGAUUCUGGAGCCAGACUGCCUGGGUUCAAAUCCCAGCAUCACCACUUCUCAACUGUGUGACCUUGGGCAAAUUGUUUCACAUCUUUGUGCCUCAGCCUCAUAUGUGUAAAGUGUGUAGAAAAAUGUUUGGUGCUUGGUAUUAGUUGAAUUCAUGGUUAUUAUUUCCCUAAUCUUCAUCCAAGGUGAGUGGAUGAGGAAGGGCUGUGGGACUCGGAGACCUAGCCUUAGGCUAUGUAGAAAACGUCGUGUGGCUAGAGUUUUGGAGUGUGAGUUAGGAGCUUGUUGACUUGCCAGAUGGCUUUGGGAAAAAUCGACAUCCUCUUCUGUCUUGUUGACCUGUUGAAGAAGAGAUACCUCCUGCCUCCCUUCCCUAGCAAGGAUCAGCAUAAGAGUGAUGUUAGGUUUAUGAGAUGAACCACCUCCCUACAAGCCAGGCCAGGCAAGGCACCCUCUUCUUAGGCAGUAGAAGGGAACAAACCUUUUCUGCCCUUUGUGGAAAUGUAGUAUUAUUUCUGAAUGUUAAUGCACUGGAUAUCUUCCCUCUUGCACAUUAGGAUCCCUGAGGAGUUUUUAAAAAUUGCUGAAGUCUAGAACACUUACCUAGAGAUUCUGAUAUGACUACUCUAAGAUGAGGUCUGGAUAGUAGUAUAUUUUUAUGGUUCCCCAAGUGGUUCUGAUGUUCAGAGGGGGUUGAGAACCUCUGGUUUAAGGUACUCUGAUUAUUGCAAUAUUUAAUUCUGGAAUACAUUUUUUUUCUGUUACACAAGGAAAGAGGUAAUGAAUGAGUGAGGAGAAUCUGCAGGAGGUGUGUGGGCCUGACAGGAGGGAUGUGUGCACCUUUGGUAUAAGGGCUGUGAUGUGAUUUUGCGUGGGACGUGGAUGAAACUGUGGUAGGAAUGGCAAAAGUGGUUCAAAAUGGCAGGGGUUUGAGAAAACUUGGGGAGAGCAUUCACUGUGCUUUGGGGCUGGAUAGGGCAUCAGCUUUCCUGCUGUAGCCUGAGAAAUAGGAAGUUCUGCGGACAUUUAGGCAAGUGUUAAGAGGCUGUAUGAGUCUGUUCUCACACUGCUAAUAAAGACAUACCUGAGACUGGGUAAUUUAUAAAGAAAAGAGUUUUAAUGGACUCACAAUUCCACAUGGCUGGGGAGGCCUCACAAUCAUGGUGGAAGGUAAAGGAGGAGCAAAGGCAUGUCUUACAUGGUGGCGGGCAAGAGAGCGUGUGCAGGGGAAUUCCCAUUUAUAAAACCAUCAAAUCUCAUGAGACUUAUUUACUAUCACAAGAACAGUAUGGGGGAAACCACUCCCAUGAUUCAGUUAUCUCCAUCUGACCCCACCCUUCACACGUGGAGAUUAUUACAAUUCAAUGUAAGAUUUGGGUGGGGACACAGCCAAACCAUAUCAGAGGCAUUGAGAGAUAAAUUUGUUUCUUUGGUUUAAUUAUAUAUAUGUA
rnacentral:lncRNA from 1 species